GAGGGGGACCAAAUCCUCCAUCUCCAAGCAGGGUUAGGCCGCAGGACUGCUCACCUGGAUGAAGCUUCAACACACGAAGAGUUAUGUGAGGCCCUAAACAUUAUUUUUCCCAAACUGCGGAAUGUUUCCGGUGGGUGGCUGGUUUAUAAAGCUUCAGCUGGAUGGGGUUGCCGAAAAAUCACGCUUGUGCCUCCUGAAGAUAGUGGCUAUUCAGGCAGGAUCCUGAAGUUUGCAAGUCGUGGGGCCAAAAAUCUCUUCAUAGCCCCAAUUCAGGAAGAACUGAGCACAAGUCCCCUACAGUUGGAUGACGAGUCUUUCAGGAACAUGCCGAAAGCAGACUGUCAGAAGUGUGGACUACCAGUUCCGCUUCCACUCCUGACAGAACACAUCAAAACAUGUGAUGUCAUUGAUGAUAUAGUCAUUGAAGAGAGGGAAACAGAUAUGCAGGAAUGUCCUGUCUGCACACAAAUCUUCCCAACAGAUUUUAUUGAGGCACACGCUUCGGCCUGCGGGCAGAGUGCUAGUGCAGGGAAUGAAGAGAUGCAUGCAAGUACGAUCAGUGAGGAAGAAGCAGCAAUACCUGGAACAUCCGGAGGAGAUAGAGAUAGAGAUGGAGGUGAGGAUGCUUAGGCCCGUGUUCUCUGAACGCCAUUCCCCUCUCUGCCCCAUUGAAUCUUUUUUUUAUUUUUCUUAUUAGGCUGGUUCACCAUUGCUGACCCCGCCAAGGCCAUAGCGCAGUGUGUGGAGAACCAUCUCAGCCUUCACAAGGAGGAGAAUCCAUUGCAGCUAAGCAUGGACAUAAGAAGUAGUCCUACCGAACAGGACAUGGCCCUGAUCUCCUUUUACAAGCCGCCAAAUGUGGAAUGGGGACGACCCCUGAACUGCAGACUUGAAGGAGAUACUGCUAUUGACCAGGGUGUGACUCGCUUUUUUUUGUCCUCCUGCAUUGAAAAGCUGAAGUCUGGAUUUUCCAUAAAUGUUGCAAAUGCCGAUGUAACACGGCUUUUUGAACGUGUGCCUGGCCAUUUGGUCCCAUCAGCCUCUCAUUUUCUUGUCGAAAGUGACUUGUUCAUGGUGGCGGAGAGAAUGCUAGACCACUCUUUCCUUCACGGAGGACCGUCCUUGUCUUGACUCAGCCCUGCUGUUGUUCAUGUACUGCUUGGUGGGAGUCCUGAAACGGCAACUCUAACUUUGGAGGAUUGUCCAGACCUGGACAUCAGAGAAAUAAUAAGGCUUCUCGGAGGAGAAUCCACACUAUCGGAGAAGGAUGCAGCAAGUGUCCAGGAAUUGGCCUACGCCUUGGACCUUCCAUCCAUAACUGAGACCAACCGAUUUUUGAGAAGUUAUUGAUCCAUGCUGUUAUCGGCCGUGUCACAAGACAAAUAAAACAGCUCAGACGAGGUCUCAAAGAAACCCCAAUGUGGACAGUACUGACCCAACGACCUGACACAGUGGACAGGCUUCUCCCAAAAGAGGGAUCUGGGAAUAUAAACCCUGGGGUACUUCUUCAGCGAAUCACUUGGCCAUGUGAGGACGACGAAGACGCAGAUUAUUCAGUCGCCACGAUAUGCUGCAUUACAGGCUAUCUUCGACAGUUCAUUGCUCAUGCAACACCAACCGAAUUGACUGAUCUGGUCAAAUUUUGGACUGGAUGGGAGAUCCUUCCAAGGAGCCUCUCUGUCGAAGUGGUCACUGGCAGAUACCCCACGGCCUCCACCUGCUUUGAGGCCUUGCGGGCCCCAGGGCAUUACAAAGAUUAUACAUCUUUCAAAACUGAUGUUCUGGCCAGCAUUUCAACGUGCCAAAUAGGAUUUGGUCUGGUGUGACCAAAGACUUUCACAAGGAGCUUUUGGAUUAUCCCUUCAAUAUUUGCAGGGAUUUUUGGGCACUAAGAUAUUAUUCGAUUUUGGAUGUUACAUUAUCCACCAGUUAUGCUUUUUUGAGUUUUGUUUUAACAUUUCAGAUAGUUACGUUUCACGUUUUAUUAUGGCUGUUGGAAAUCCUGAAUGUUGAGCCCUAUGUUACUGUCUAACGGAUCAGUCAAAACUGUCAGUUUGACCCAGUUUGAAGCAUAACAUCUAUAAAUAAA